rnacentral:tRNA from 1 species
AGAUAUAUAAAAUUAGAAAAUCCAUUUAUUUUUAAUAAAUAAUAAGGGUUCAAGUCCCUUCAUUUCUA